GCUCUCGUAGUUCAAUGGAUAGAAUGCAUCUUUGCGGAAGAUGUGAUCUAGGUUCGAUUCCUAGCGAGAGCA
rnacentral:tRNA from 1 species